rnacentral:rRNA from 1 species
AGAGCGAACGCUGGCGGCAGGCCUAAUACAUGCAAGUCGAACGGACCCUUCGGGGUUAGUGGCGGACGGGUGAGUAACACGUGGGUUACCUGCCUUGAUGACCGGGACAACCCGAGGAAACUCGGGCUAAUACCGGAUGUGCCCGCAAGGGGAAAGGAAGCUUCGGCCUCCGCAUCAAGAUGGGCCCGCGGCCCAUUAGCUUGUUGGUGAGGUAACGGCUCACCAAGGCUUCGAUGGGUAGCUGGUCUGAGAGGACGAUCAGCCACACUGGGACUGAGACACGGCCCAGACUCCUACGGGAGGCAGCAGUGGGGAAUCUGCGCAAUGCGCGAAAGCGUGACGCAGCAACGCCGCGUGGGGGAAGAAGGCUUUCGGGUUGUAAACCCCUUUCAGUUGGGACGAAGCUUCUUCGGUGAAUAGCCGAACGGAGUGACGGUACCUUCACAAGAAGCACCGGCUAACUACGUGCCAGCAGCCGC